GAUGAACGCUAGCGAUAGGCCUAACACAUGCAAGUCGAGGGGCAGCACAAGGUAGCUUGCUAUCUGGGUGGCGACCGGCGCACGGGUGCGUAACGCGUAUGCAACUUGCCCUAUACAGGAGGAUAACCCGUCGAAAGACGGACUAAUACUGCGUAUGCUCACAACUUGGCAUCAAGUGGUGAGGAAAGAAAUUCGGUAUAGGAUAGGCAUGCGUCCCAUUAGCUUGUUGGUGAGGUAACGGCUCACCAAGGCAACGAUGGGUAGGGGAACUGAGAGGUUUAUCCCCCACACUGGUACUGAGACACGGACCAGACUCCUACGGGAGGCAGCAGUGAGGAAUAUUGGUCAAUGGGCGCGAGCCUGAACCAGCCAAGUCGCGUGAAGGAUGACUGUCUUAUGGAUUGUAAACUUCUUUUAUACGGGAAUAACAAGAGUCACGGGUGACUCCCUGCAUGUACCGUAUGAAUAAGCAUCGGCUAACUCCGUG
rnacentral:rRNA from 1 species